rnacentral:ncRNA from 1 species
GGGUAAAUAACGAAUAUCUUAUAGCAUAAAAGUUUCUGGCGCCUAAUCGAGCGAAAUAUACAAUGAGUCGAAAAAUUACUUAGAAUUGUAAAUUCCAGCAGAGAAAUCUAACAUUUAAAUAUUGUUCUUACCUAAUUAAGUGAAACAUCUCAAUAGUUAGAGGAAAGGAAAAUAAUUAAAGAUUUUGUUAGUAAUGGUGAGUGAAAACAAAAUAGCCAAAAUUUGAAUUUAAGGAAAUAGAAGUCUUAUAUGAUUUAAGCGCCAUAGAAGGUGAAAGCCCUUUAUAAUUUCUUAUUUUUAAUAUAUAUAAUAAUGAGUAAAAUAAAAUCUGUGAAAUUUUAUUGGAAAAAGGCAAACCCAUUUGCUAAGGCUAAAUACACUUUUAUGACUAAUAGUGAACAAGUACUGUGAAGGAAAGAUGAAAAGACAAAGUUAAAAGAUCUUGAAAUUGUUUACCU